UCUCCUAAUUUUUUUAACCUUUCCUUCCAGAGUUUUACAUUCUCGCUCUACUCAAGGGUUUCCACACAUUUCCAAACCCACAUUCUCGUUUUUGUUCAGAAUGCUCUGUCAAGCUCGAUUUGAAUUCAUCAAAUCAGCAUUCAUCUUCUCAUCUCCGUCCAAGGUUUUACACUCACUCUCCUAAAUUUUUUCCUAAAUAUCCAAACACUAGCAUUUUCGUUUUUGUUCAGAAAGGUCCGUCAUCAAAUUGGCGUUUUGAAAGCUCGUUCUAGAAGUUCGAUUUGGAUCCAUCAAACCGAUAUUCAUCUUCGUCCUCGCUCAUCUGCCAGUGCUCGUCAUCUCCGUCAUCGCUCAUCGGCCAGUGGUCGUCGUCAAUGCUUGUUGGCCGUUGCUCGUCUCUCAGUGAUCGUCUCUUAGUGAGUGUGGGUUUGACCCUAAUUUUUUAACCCUCUUUGAUAUGCAGAGAGAUGUUUGCUCUAGUCCUUUCAUUUGGCCUUCUCCUCACUGCAUUAAGAAGCAGAAAGGCUAGGUCAUGGCGCUAUGGUUGUGUAGCAGACUAUUUAUCUCUUUCUUUCUGGGAUGAGAUUGGGGAGAGUGACAAUGAUAGAGACAACAUGCUUCUUCAACUGGAGCAAGAAUGCUUGGAUAUUUAUCACAGGAGAGUUAAGGAGACGAGGAAGCACAAGGCUGACAUAUAUUAAUGGGUGGCAGAUGCUGAAGCUCAAGCAACUAAUAUUGUUUCUUCCCUUAGGGAAUCUACAAUGCUCCCACGAGGAAAAGGAUCCUUGAAGCAGCAAUUAGCUGCCAUUAAACUUGUCUUAGAGGAUUUGAGGUCAAAGAAGGAUGAAAGAAUAAAGGAAUUUUUAGAGAUAAAGUCCCAAAUUUCUCAGAUAUGUGAUGAAAUAGCAGGUUGUGGACAGUACACAAGUGUCACAGACUCAGAUGUAAAUCAAAGUGAUCUGACAUCAAAGAAAUUGGGGGAACUCAAGUCGCAUCUACAGGAGCUUCAGAAUGAAAAGAAAUAGUCACCAGAUUUGAAGAAACACAAGUGCAUCAGGGUAGAUUUCUCUCCUAAGGGUUAAAAGAGUGAAUAACAUGUGGAAUGAUGGCUUCUCAAUUUUAGGCUUUUCUUGAUGCUACUGAGUGUCUCUAUAAAACACAAAAGCUUGCCGGCAAACCUGCUGGAAUUAUCUCCCGCACUCGAUACCAAGGUGGUCAAGAAGAGACUACAAUUACAUUAUUUACUGAUUGUGAUGGUAUCAUCCCUCUAGUUCACCGUGGAAUGGUAUUUGUUCCAUUUGGAAUAAGAUUUACAUACAACCAUGAGUUUGAAAAUAUGGAGGAAGUCAAAAGGUGGAAGUCCUUAUGGUUCACGAGCAUGGCUAUUACUUGUAUACUUUGUGUGUUUGACGCAAAGAAAGCUAAUAGAUUUGAAGUAAUCACUUCCUCCAGCGAAACUGAAAGAUAUGAGCAAUUUUGUCAUGGGCCGCUUUGGGAUGAUUGUGGACAACUUUAAAGUUGUCAAAGAUCCAAACAUUAGUUCUUAUUCUAUCUCAUUCCAACAUUAAUUUGUGUACAGAAAAGUCAUAGCAUCAAUGAUGUUUGAAACUUUUUUAACUCUAUUUGCUAAUAUUUGGUUAGGUCUCGGUUUCAUUAAUUCCAUAACUUUCAUUUUCUUGGUUGGGGUUUUCUUGUCAUUAUGGUUGGGUGCAUCUGUCCUGGGCCUUGGGGAGUGGUUUAUCAAGCGAAUGCCACUUGUUCAUCUUAUUGAUUGGAAAAGAAUAGGUUCUUUCUAUAUGUGUCCUUUUCUUCAUUUUAUCUCUAAUUUCUAUUUCCCAUUUCUAACUUUUUCUUCAAACAGUGACGUCGUCCACAUGGUUAGCUAUGCACUUCUCUUCGUAAAUGCCAACGAUAGAAGAAGGUGGACACCGGAUGCAGUUGUAUUUGAUUCUCACCCGCGCAUGGAACUCCCAGCUAUUUGAUUUUUGUGUAUAUUUUUUC